GGGGGAACCCUGACCGAGCAACGCCGCGUGAGUGAAGAAGGUUUUCGGAUCGUAAAGCUCUGUUGUUAAGGAAGAACGUGUGUGAGAGUGGAAAGUUCACACAGUGACGGUACUUAACCAGAAAGGGGCGGCUAACUACGUGCCAGCAGCCGCGGUAAUACGUAGGUCCCGAGCGUUGUCCGGAUUUAUUGGGCGUAAAGCGAGCGCAGGCGGUUAGAUAAGUCUGAAGUGAAAGGCAGUGGCUCAACCAUUGUAGGCUUUGGAAACUGUUUAACUUGAGUGCAGAAGGGGAGAGUGGAAUUCCAUGUGUAGCGGUGAAAUGCGUAGAUAUAUGGAGGAACACCGGUGGCGAAAGCGGCUCUCUGGUCUGUAACUGACGCUGAGGCUCGAAAGCGUGGGGAGCGAACAGGAUUAGAUACCCUGGUAGUCCACGCCGUAAACGAUGAGUGCUAGGUGUUAGGUCCUUUCCGGGACUUAGUGCCGCAGCUAACGCAUUAAGCACUCCGCCUGGGGAGUACGACCGCAAGGUUGAAACUCAAAGGAAUUGACGGGGGCCCGCACAAGCGGUGGAGCACGUGGUUUAAUU
rnacentral:rRNA from 1 species